rnacentral:snoRNA from 1 species
AUUCCAUGAUGGGGACAUUCUAGGAUGUAGUCGAAGCGCUCCCAUACCUCUCGAACAGAUUCAUCAUGUUGUUGCCGAAAAAUUAUAAUCUUCCCACGGAGAGC